AGUGAUUGUGUGCUUGUUUAUUCAGGACACGGGUGGUGCUGUGGUCUAAACCACUGAGCCUCUUGGACUUGCCAAUCAGAAAAUCCGCAGUUUGAAUCUCCAUGACAGGGUGAGCUCCCAUUGCUCUGUCCCAGGUCCUGCCAACCUAUUAGUUUGAAAGCACGCCAGUGUAAGUAGAUAAAUAGGUACCACUGCGGCAGGAAGGUAAACGGCGUUUCCAUGCGCUCUGGUUUCCAUCGUGGUGUCCCGUUGUGCCAGAAGCAGUUUAGUCAUGCUGGCCACAUGACCCGUAAAGCUGUCUGUGGAUGAAUACCGGCUCCCUUGGCCUGAAAGCGAGAUGAGCGCCACAUCCCAGAGUCGCCUUUGACUGGUCUUAACCAUCCGGGCUCCUUUACCUACUGAUCCAUUCUUAUGGGGCCCCUAAAGGGCAUGGGACCCAUAGGCUGGUACCUACUCUGCCUAUCUGGCAAUCCAGCACUGCACCCCAGCUGUCAGGAACUGGCAGUCUUAGGUAACCAGCAAACAGUAGUUGUAUUUACAAGAUUUAUUAUACACAGUAAUUAACCUCAGAGCUAUUCACACUAGCUGCUGUAUUUCAAGAUGAACUUGAGGCAUCUGAGCUCAAAUUAUGUCGCAAACAAGAAACAUGAAAGCGCCCCCACCUCUUCUUCUUUGAUUGACGCCUUUCUUUAACCUUUGUUCAUCUGCGAGCCCUUGGACUUUCAGGGUCAUCUCCCACCUCUUCCUCUGACGAAGAGUUUCCCCUCCUCUCUGAGGUGACUAAUGGCUGCUCUUCAGAGACUUGGCCUCCGUCCAGCCCGCUCUCACUGUUCUGAUAAGGUUCAGUCUAUCCUCCUUCUGAAAAGGUGUUUUGUUUUUGUUUUUUUUAGUCAAUUGCCUUUGGCUGGCUGAGAAAAAGGCAAGGCUCUUUCCUCCUCUUCUGACUGCCCGCCCCUCACCGUGAUCAACUCAUGCCCGGAAACUUAUGUCCCCACUGUGGAAGGAAAUGUGUAUCCAGAAUUGACCUCCACAGUCACUUACGGACUCACUGUUAAGACCGUGUACAUGGAAGACAAUCUUAGUCAGCUACGAGUGAUCACCAAAGAAGUACUAUACUUAUUUUUACUAACCUCAGUGCUUUCUGAGCACUGCAGAUUACUACGCUCUGUACGUAGUCAUAAGAAUGACCCUCUGAAAAAUUCAUAAAUACCACAAAGUAGGUUUGUCUUACAUCAUUACUUUGGUUUUCAUCCUUUGUGAGCUGAAUUUAAAGUUAAAAACCGUAUUUCGGCAUGUUAUUCACUGAAGCAUUUCUAAAUGCCUGUGGCACAGCGCUCCUUAGGAUGGAAACAUUUGCAUUUAAAAAUUUCUCUUCUGAAAGAUGAGCUGUAUUUAAAUACUGUG